UAGGAAAUCUUAGAGGAGGAAGGCA
rnacentral:piRNA from 1 species